rnacentral:rRNA from 1 species
UGCGUAGGGGGCAAGCGUUGUCCGGAUUUACUGGGCGUAAAGGGCGCGUAGGCGGCGUGUCAAGUCGAUUGUGAAAUCUCCGGGCUUAACUCGGAAAGGUCAGCCGAUACUGCGGGGCUAGAGUGCAGAAGGGGCAACUGGAAUUCUCGGUGUAGCGGUGAAGUGCGUAGAUAUCGAGAGGAACACCUGCGGCGAAGGCGGGUUGCUGGGCUGACACUGACGCUGAGGCGCGAAAGCUAGGGGAGCGAACGGG